rnacentral:lncRNA from 1 species
AGCUCUGAUGCAGCUGGAGAGCAGCGCUCAAGGCUCUCGCCCCUCCCCUCCCUAACCCUUACCUUCAGUCUCCACCAGCCUGAAGGGCCUCCUAGGGGAUCCUCAGGCGGCCCCCACCAGGGCACACCCUACUGUCCUUGUGCCUCACGCCCCCUCCUCAUCCUGCACCCCUUCCAUCCCACCUUCCCUUUCAAUAAACAGCUGGGAUGGAUACUGACUUUGUUUCCUUUCUCCCUGGCCACUGGGGCGUGGGGAGGAGAAAGACACAGACUCAGGAGCACCUACUGUGUGCUGGGCACGACCCAUUAUUUCUCAUUCGCUCCUCAGGAUAACCUGUUGAGAAAGGAAUUAUUGUCUUCUUUUUUUUUUUUUUAAGAUGUUGUCUCGCUCUGUCGCC